rnacentral:lncRNA from 1 species
GAAAGGGCAAAUAGAUGCAAGAGUUCUCUGCCUUCUGUGUUGUUUGGGCGAAUUGUCAGGAGUAAAAGAAGAGUUUAGUGUCAAAGGGGUAUAGCUUCUGGAUGGUCAUAUAAAUUGAACAGAGGAUAAGUGGAGCCCUUUUUUCAUCUCUUCCAAAAUAUGAAACAUUGCACUGAUCUCGGUGGAAAUAAAUGCCAAAGAGCUCCCCAGGAAGAACCUUUAAGCUUGGGACUUGAUUUCCCAACCUCGCAUACUGUUUGCAAUUACAGAAUAUAUGGCAUACAUGGAGGACUUUCUUAAUCUGAGUUUUAUGGAGUAUGGAUUAUACCUUUCUAAUGUUCUAAUGUGUGGAUCUGAAGUUCAGUUCUUAACAACAACAAAAAGUCUCUUAUUGGUGAUGCUGAGAUUUCUUUUUUUCCUGAGUCUUGUUCUCUAGAACCAAAUCUGCGGUUGACUGUGGCACUGAUUUAAAACACUUUAUACAAAUCCCAAACCCUGAAGCAUACUGUGGAGUGAGCUACUAAGCCAGCGUCAACAAGAAGACUAGAAUUAAGAAACUCCUUCCUGAAGACUUUUUUUUUCAAAAAAAUAAUCUUAACAUUUCAAGUUUCCUCAACUAAAUUUAUUCUGUAUUUUGCCACAUCUGCAGCAGCUGAGAUCUACUUUCCAAGAGUGGUUUCUUGCGAAAGGAAAAACCUACUUUUACUACCUCGAAAUGAACACCUACCACAAAAUGAGCACACACACGGAAGCAACUAACACAACUUAUCCAACAGAACAUCACUGUUUGAAUAAGCCCAUUCUCCACUUCCUGAUACAUUCUGCGAUGGAAAUUCUUAAUUCCUGGAAUCAUAUGACAUUAAAGGCAGGAAUCACAUUGCUUCUGCCUGUUUUAUAUCUAGAUCAAAAGGUAAGGCCAAGAGAUUGUACAAAACAAAUAAGCACUUUACAGGUAAUACAUGAUAUAUAUCAAAUAUAAAGACUAGGCAUAGCAUUCUACCAAUCAACAUCUAUUAAGAACAUCAAAAUCAAAGGGGUUUAUAACUAAGCAGAGAAGUGACAUUGGGAAAUAACACCGGUUGUGUUUAAAGAAAGAAAAAUUCAAGUGUCCAUAUUUUUUAAACAUUUCAAAGCCAGAGUUGAUACACAAUUUAGCAUUCUUACCUUUUUUUCAUCUUGUCAUAAAGGAAAAAAAAUUAAAACUUAAUAAAUUUUGCCUCAGGAUCAGAAAUUCAGGACUUUGAAGUCAUACUUUCCCUUUUCUAACAGACAUAGAUAAGAAUUUGCUUUACCUAAAAGUAAAAUGCCAUUUCAGAUUGUUGUGAGAAUGAGUUUAUCAUCUUGAUUCUGCUACUUACCAGCAGUUACUUACUAGUGAAGUUAGCUUCAUUUAACUUUUCUGAUCCUCACUUUCUUUUUUUAAGAGAUAGGAUGUCUCUCUGUCACC